rnacentral:rRNA from 1 species
AAGUCGUAACAAGGUUUCCGUUGAAGACAUCCUUCCUUGAAGCCUUUCCACACAACGACUCUAACCACCUGUGUGCAGUCGUUCCACGGGCAACGUCACCGAUGUGCUGGAACACCGCCCCUGGGUGAACCAGCAGCUGAAUUUCACCCGAGAUUCGGUUCACAGAUUAGAUGGUGACGGUCAGCUUCGGUCCCCUGCGGGAUCCCCGCUGAUGAAGAUAUAACCGGUCGAGCAUCGAUCAGAUGCCCGAGAAACGUUCCGUAGGUGAACCUGCGGAAGGAUCAUUAUCGAGUUUGGGUCCUCUGGGCCCCCUCUCCAACCCUUGUCUAUUCUACCACGUUGCUUCGGCGGGCCCGUCCCUCACCGGACCGCCGGGGAUUCACGUCCCUGGCCCGCGCCCGUCAGUAGCCCCCCCCCAAAACUCUCUGAAUCGUGUCGUCUAAGCAAGCUAUAAUAACUAAAACUUUCAACAACGGAUCUCUUGGUUCUGGCAUCGAUGAAGAACGCAGCGAAAUGCGAUAAGUAAUGUGAAUUGCAGAAUUCAGUGAAUCAUCGAAUCUUUGAACGCACAUAGCGCCCCUUGGUAUUCCGAGGGGCAUGCCUAUUCGAGCGUCAUUAUCACCCCUCAAGCUCCGGCUUGGUGUUGAGGCCUGCUGUAAAGGCACCCUCUAAAAUCAGUGGCAGUGCCGUCCGGCUCUAAGCGUAGUAAACACGUCGCUAUAGACUCGUGCGGUCCCUCGCCAGAAACCCCCCAUUUCUUAAUGAUUGACCUCGGAUUAGGUAGGGAUACCCGCUGAACUUAAGCAUAUCAAUAAGCAGAGGAAAAGAAACCAACAGGGAUUGCCUCAGUAACGGCGAGUGAAGCGGCAAAAGCUCAAAUUUGAAAUCUGGCUCUUUUAGGGUCCGAGUUGUAAUUUGCAGAAGAUGUUUCGGGUGUGGCUCCGGUUUAAGUUCUUUGGAAUAUUACAUCAUAGAGGGUGAGAAUCCCGUAUGUGACCGGCAGCCUUCGCCCAUGCGAAACUCUUUCGACGAGUCGAGUUGUUUGGGAAUGCAGCUCAAAAUGGGAGGUAUAUUUCUUCUAAAGCUAAAUAUAGGCCAGAGACCGAUAGCGCACAAGUAGAGUGAUCGAAAGAUGAAAAGCACUUUGGAAAGAGAGUUAAACAGUACGUGAAAUUGUUGAAAGGGAAGCGCUUGCAACCAGACUUGCACGCAGUUGAUCAUCCGGGGUUCUCCCCGGGGCACUCGGCUGCGUUCAGGCCAGCAUCGGUUUUGGUGGUUGGAUAAAGGCCUUGGGAAUGUGGCUUCCUUCGGGGAGUGUUAUAGCCCUCGGUGCAAUGCAGCCUACCGGGACCGAGGACCGCGCUUCGGCUAGGAUGCUGGCGUAAUGGUUGUAAGCGACC